UACGAAGGGGGCUAGCGUUGUUCGGAAUUACUGGGCGUAAAGGGUGCGUAGGUGGUUUUUUAAGUCCGUUGUGAAAUCCCUGGGCUCAACCUGGGAAUGGCAGUGGAUACUGGGAAGCUAGAGUGCGGUAGAGGGUAGUGGAAUUCCCGGUGUAGCAGUGAAAUGCGUAGAGAUCGGGAGGAACACCAGUGGCGAAGGCGGCUACCUGGACCAGCACUGACACUGAGGCACGAAAGCGUGGGGAGCAAACAGG
rnacentral:rRNA from 1 species